AGUAUUGUUAUGUUGUCAAUUUAGUGCCAUACAUUACUCCUUGCCUAGCUUCUAGGUUUUAAUCUUCAUUUCACCACCUUCAAAGGGGUUGGCCGAACCUUCCCAUUUCCACACUCUUCAUGCACCUUCAAGGUCACCACACCUCUUAGGAGGACCUUGUUCAUCUCUUCCAUUAAGCUUCCGCACCAUCUUCAACAAACAUCCAAGAAGAGCUCAUAGGAAAUCCAUCAAGAUAGAAAACCCUAGAGGAGACAACCGUCAAGGAGAAACAUACUAGAUAUUCUUUUCUUGCUUUCCAUGCUUGUAAUGGCCAACAUGAAUGACUAAUUCUACCCUUUGAGAUUGGAGGUAAUCUGUUCAAACUCUUAUGUAUUGAGGUGAUAUUUAAAC
rnacentral:lncRNA from 1 species